AUACGUAGGUGGCAAGCGUUAUCCGGAAUUAUUGGGCGUAAAGAGGGAGCAGGCGGCAGCAAGGGUCUGUGGUGAAAGCCUGAAGCUUAACUUCAGUAAGCCAUAGAAACCAGGCAGCUAGAGUGCAGGAGAGGAUCGUGGAAUUCCAUGUGUAGCGGUGAAAUGCGUAGAUAUAUGGAGGAACACCAGUGGCGAAGGCGACGAUCUGGCCUGCAACUGACGCUCAGCCCCGAAAGCGUGGGGAGCAAAUAGGAUUAGAUACCCUAGUAGUCCACGCCGUAAACGAUGAGUACUAAGUGUUGGAUGUCAAAGUUCAGUGCUGCAGUUAACGCAAUAAGUACUCCGCCUGAGUAGUACGUUCGCAAGAAUGAAACUCAAAGGAAUUGACGGGG
rnacentral:rRNA from 1 species